rnacentral:lncRNA from 1 species
GAAUUUAUGCUCUCAACCACACUGUAACACUAAUGACUUGGCAAAUGUAUAAUUAAAACACACAAAUGAUUUACUUAGAAGGAAUAAGCACAAACAAGAUCCUUCUGCAAAGUUCUCUCCUGCUGUGAACAUAAAUUAGAAUCAUCAGAACAAAGUAUUCAGACUUGAUUCUGCUGGAAAAGGCACUGUGACAUUGGCAGGCAUUCAAUGGUUACUAAAGACAGAUAAUCUCGUAAUACAUUACUUUGUUUCCAAAUACAAUAUUUCAUAAUUCAAACAUCCAUGAAUGGAUGGCUAGUUGAUACAAUUAUAAUUUUCUACAUAAUAUAUCAAAUAUCUAUUAAAAAUAAGGUAAUCUAUAUAGACCAAUAAAGGAGAAAAAAGGAAGAUAAUAUCAUAUAACAUACAGAAUGCAUGUGCGUUUAGAGAGAGACUGAAAGACAGAGCAUAUACAUGAAAGAAUUAUAUACGAUAGAUAAUCUUUAGGUGUUACUUCUUGAGGAUAGAAACACUGAAUGUUCCAUUUUGAAGUUUCUUCAGGGUUUAUAUCCUUUUUGUAGAAUCCAGCACAGAGGAAUGAGGGGUAAAUAAACAAGUACUAUUUAUCAUGGCCCGCAGAGAAUCUCAAGGAUCAAUCAAAAGGUAUUAACAUUACUUGAAUGAAUCCUGCUUGUCCUUUAAGCUUGUCUGAAAACUCACUUCUGCACUGACUUAGUGUAAUUUCAA